rnacentral:rRNA from 1 species
GUCCUUGCCGUAAACGAUGUAUACUUGAUGUAAUUGGGCUCAACCCUGAUUGUGUCGAAGCUAACGCGAUAAGUAUACCGCCUGGGGAGUACGCUCGCAAGGGUGAAACUCAAAAGAAUUGACGGGGGCCCGCACAAGCAGUGGAGCAUGUGGUUUAAUUCGAUGCAACGCGAAGAACCUUACCCAGGCUCGAAAUGUAGAGGACGAUAUCAGAAAUGGUAUUUUCCGCAAGGACCUCUAUAUAGGUGCUGCAUGGCUGUCGU